AACGAACGCUGGCGGCAUGCCUAACACAUGCAAGUCGAACGAUUGCCUUCGGGUGAUAGUGGCGCACGGGUGCGUAACGCGUGGGAAUCUGCCCUUAGGUUCGGAAUAACAGCUGGAAACGGCUGCUAAUACCGGAUGAUAUCGCGAGAUCAAAGAUUUAUCGCCUGAGGAUGAGCCCGCGUUGGAUUAGGUAGUUGGUGGGGUAAAGGCCUACCAAGCCGACGAUCCAUAGCUGGUCUGAGAGGAUGAUCAGCCACACUGGGACUGAGACACGGCCCAGACUCCUACGGGAGGCAGCAGUGGGGAAUAUUGGACAAUGGGCGCAAGCCUGAUCCAGCAAUGCCGCGUGAGUGGUGAAGGCCCUAGGGUUGUAAAGCUCUUUUACCCGGGAAGAUAAUGACUGUACCGGGAGAAUAAGCCCCGGCUAACUCCGUG
rnacentral:rRNA from 1 species